UUGAAUGUUUAAGUAAUUAUUUAGUAUAUUGAAAAUGAUUGUUUCAUGUUCCUUCUCCAAACAUGUAUAAAUCAUGUAGAACUAUUAUAUUCAGGACGGUGAACAAUUUGUUAGAUAAAUUCAUGCUGAGAAAACAUGAAAUUGUUAGGUUUUUUUUUAAUCUCCGCCCAAUCUGAUUCUAAACACGUCAUUAAAAACUCAAACGAGGUUGAGAUGCUGCCUGGGCCCUGCCCUAGCGGUGACGCAACGCUUUUGAAAUUGCCUCAGCUUCAGCUAUGGUCGGCAAUCAGGCGAAGUAGAUCCAGAAAUUUUCUGUUUCUCUCCUGCUUGUACAAGAGGUCAUUUGUGGGAAGACAGUUGACAGUUGGAAGAAAAAAGAUGAUUCUAAGCACACUUAUGCCGUGAGUGCACACCCACCAUCUUUCCUUUCUCAUCUGCCUCGACAAGAGUAACUACAGAAUCGGCUGUGGAGGGAACAACGUUUACACUUCGGAGAUUAUUUGACGAUGGAAGGAUUUAUUGGCAAGGUGAAUGUGGCGUUGUAAGGGGCGCUCAUAGUCGUUCCAACAAGACACGAUUUGCUGACCCAUUAUAAGCGCAAACUCAGGACUUCGGUCGCCCUGCAAGGUGAAUGUGGCGUUGUAAGGGGCGCUCAUAGUCGUUCCAACAAGUCACGAUUUGCUGACCCAUUAUAAGCGCAAACUCGGGACUUUGGUCGCCCUGCAAGGUGAAUGUGGCGUUGUAAGGGGCGCUCAUAGUCGUUCCAACAAGGCAUUUUGCUGACAGCAAGGCGAUUUGCUGACCCAUUAGAAGCGCAAACUCGGGACUUUGGUCGCCCUGCAAGGUAUUCAUGCAUGUUUUCAGAAUGUCCAUGCACAUUUAAGACAUGGAAUGCUUUAAUUUUGCAUCACUGUGCGCAUGCAACAGUUGGUCAAAAACAGAGACUUGACUGACUGUUUUUAUCUCUCUCUCUUGCUCUCUCUCUCUUGCGCGCUUUCUUUCUUUCUUUCU